AAACAUAGCCAGAGGAAGAUAUUUUUGGUUUAACCUGCCCAAUGUAUUAUUGUAUGAAUGGCCGCGGUACCCUGACCGUGCUAAGGUAGCGUAAUCAGUUGGCUUUUAAAUGGAGUCAGGUAUGAAUGGGAUAACCGGGCUUAGCUGUCUCAAAGACAUUUAUUUGAAUUUACUGUUCAAGUGAAAAAGCUUGAUUUAAGAAAAGGGACGAGAAGACCCUUAGAAUUUUGUUUAAAGAGGAUUAUUUCUUCUAUGAUUUUGUUGGGGCGACAGAGAAAUAAUUAAAACUUUCUUUAAAUUAAUCAGUCGGAAUUUUCAGGUUAGGAUAAAUUACCUGAGGGAUAACAGCAUAAUUUUAUAAAUAAGUUUGUGACCUCGAUGUUGGACUAGGAAGCUAAUGGGUUAGCUGCUCAUUGUGCGGAUUCUGUUCGAAUUUUAACUCCUACGUGAU
rnacentral:rRNA from 1 species